ensembl:lncRNA
AUGGAUGAUGUACAUGAAAGUCUGCUCGAUGGUGAAGUCGGGCGGCAGGCUGCCCUUGUGCACCCCUAUGUGCUUGCUCAUCAGGUUGAGCGUGGAGCUGUAGUGGCCACACACGGUGCAGCGAUACAUGAGGGCCCCCGAGUGCGUCCGCAGGUGGCACUUGAUGGUGGAGCGCCCUCGGAAGAACUUGUGGCACACCUUGCACUGGUACGGCUUCUCCCCGGUGUGGAUGCGCCGGUGGUAGUUGAACUCGCUGGUGUGGGCGAACCUCUUGCCGCACACCUUGCAGCUGUACUUGCUGUUGCCCGGCUGGCUCUGCAGCGCCAGCUCUUCGCUCAGGAACUCCUCGGGCAGUUUCCUCUUGGGCAGCCCCUGCGGCUGCAGGCGCUCCCCAAAGCCCGCCCGGAUGUCCAGGCUGCCCCCACAUUUGUGCUGGCUGACGUGGUAGCGGUAGGCAGCUUCCAGCUUGAAGCUCUGGCUGCAGAAGUGGCACUGGAAAAGAGCCUCCUCCGCGUGCUGGUGCACGGCCAGGUGCUUCUCCAGCAGCUGCCGGUCCACGAAGCUGCUGGCACAGACGGAGCAGGAGAAGACGGAGAUGCCCAGGUGGGACAGGGCGUGCCACAUCAGGCUGCAGAGGCUCAGGUGCCGCUGGUCGCACACGCCGCACGUCUGGCUCUUCAGGUUCACGUGCUCCAGCAGGUGGUUCCGCACCGUGUGGAAAUCUUUGGCCAAAGGCUUCCCGCAGGCAGCACAGGCCAGCUCAGGGCUGGGCCCUGCCCCAAACACAGCCACCUUCCCCGGCAGGGGGUCACUGGGGUGGACGACGACGUUGUUGUCGAAGACCCCGUCCCGCCGGUGCAGCGUCAGCUGCCACUGCGUGAAGAACUUGGUCUCGCACAUGUCGCAGGAGAAGAGGAAGAUGCCGAUGUGGGACAGCACGUGAGUGACCCUGGAGUUGCGGUCCUGGAAGUGGGUCUCACACACUUUGCAGUUCCCCGUGAGCAGGUCCACGUGGUCCCUGGCGUGCUGGCGGAUCAGCUGGAUGUUGGGCUCCAGCACCUUCUUGCACACCUGGCAGGGCAUGGCCUUGCUGUCCCGGCUGUCGCUCUCAAAGGCCAGCUCCUCCUCGCUGUCAUCGCUCAGCUCAAUCACUUCCUCAGACGGGACCAGCUCUUCUCCAGCAUCCUCAAAAUGCAGCUCGGCCUCUCCCAAAUCCUCCAGCUGGAGCUCAUCCAUCUGCUCGAAUCCCUGCUCUUUGGAGUGGUCGCUGUUGCUGGGGCAGGAGUUGCUCCCCGUGGAGACAUCCAGGGAGGGGUCAGUGGGGAAGAAGCUGCCCUUGCUGUAGUCACCAUUGCUCUGGGCCUUGUACUGGGGGCAGGAGCUGCCGGUGGUCUGUGCCACGACAUUCCCACCUUGCUGGACCCCCAGACCCGCGACAGGAGCAAACUGCCCCGGAUCCGACUCCUGCUCUGUCUUAGGAGGCUGCUGUGGGUGCAUCAGGGGAAGAGCCUGGCUGGCCUCACCCACAGGAUUCCUGUCAUCCUCUUUGUAGCCGCCUGCCACGUCCCCGUGCAGGAGGUAACUCCGCUCGGGGCCGAAGUGCUCCGCGCCGCUCCGGAUGUCUCCCAAAGAGUGGCUCUGCUCCGAGGAGGUGCUGCUCAGCGGCCCAGCCCGGCCUUCCCCCACAGCCAGGGCAGGCUGCUUGGUGAUGGCCGAGCUCUCCAGGUCAGGGAAGGUGGAGUGACAAGCCUGCAGCAGAUCCUCCAUGCCCAGCCUCUCCGCCACCUCGUAGAUGACACCCACGUUGAUGAGGUCGGUGAAGAGCUCCGAGGUGUACACGAAGCUCAGGAUCUUCUCAAAGUUGGCCGGCGUGAUGAAAUCCACCACGUAGGUCCUGGCAGCGUCCAGCCCCGUGUUGAGGAAGAGGUUCUGGAAGUAACCAGCAGCACAGGCCAGCACGGCCUUGUGCGCGGCGAAGGAGCGGGAGCCCACCAGGAUGGUGACGUCGCACAUGGUCUCGGACAGCCGGCACUUGUUGAGUUCCUUCAGCAGGUUGUUGGGGUGGUUGGUGCUGUGCAGCUUGAUCCUCAUGCCCAUCUUAGCAGCUGCUUAAGAGUUCCCUUCUCCUGGUCAGCUCGGCCUUCACGCCUUCAUCGGUGGCGGGAGCAGGAACUGGCAGGGCAAGGGGCUCUGCAGAGGGGAAAUGCAAAAUAA